AUCAAAUGCCAAGACAGAUGCAGAAAAUCAGGAACCCAUGUACGACAUUCUCCAACACCACACAAGUCCCCAUCUCGCCCGAACUCGGGGUGAUGGAUUAUAUCACAUUACGAAGAGCGAGCCGGCAUGGCUAUCUACCUAGGUGAUAAGGAUCACAGGUAAUUUUGUUCAUCACGGACUACUCGAGCAAGUUGUUCGUCGUGUGCUGGGAAAGAGACCCUCCCACUUCUUGAGAAAGAAAAUAAAAACCUGAACAGUCAACACAAUAGGCGACCGCAGCUCAUAUCCGAAAUCCGAACAAGUCUCCAACAAGCGAGGACCUCAAAUAGGCGCCGAUUGCCCAGGAUUAGCCCUCACUUCACCUACUCUCUGUACUGUGCAAAUCGGCAUUUGUUUGGUACACAUCCACACACACACACACUACAUACAAGCUCCCACUACAUUAUAGACGCCCAUGUACUCCAGGUCCAACCCUGGACUUGUAAUGAGCUCACGAUAUACCCAAUACUGCAAAACUUGGACCGGUUGAGCGGUAUCUGUGCGGCAUCACUUGUGGGAAUGUGAUCGUGUCCCUACACACUCGACACUAGAGUCAUCACUUUGACGAGGAGGGCAGUGGAGGGUUCGGCUGCAGAUGUGAAACCCCCGUCCGUGAACUUCAUUGUGUUUGUGAUGAAGCUGACGGGACUGCUUCUACCUAUCAACCCAUCAUCACCAGCACCCCCGAAUGCAGGUCCGGUAUGAAGUCUGAUGUUGUUGCACUUUAACCGAGUACUACAGAUUAAACCACCAUUUCUCUACGCCACGGACCCUGACAGUCUUACUGCAACCCUGAUCCCGCCAAAGCAUCAAUGCCGAAGAGGUGGCCACGAUCUUGAAAGGCAGGACAGUCGCAUUCCAGAUAUCCUCGAUGCCGCCGAACCGAAUCUGCCUGGAAUCACCCUGUCAAGGGCAUGUGCGGAAUCCACUUGGCCCUUUUU